AACCGCCGGAUACGUGACCCGUACGUCCGGUGGUGUGGGAGGGGGAGCCCGUGAGGGUUUCUCCUAUCCCGAU
rnacentral:misc_RNA from 1 species